rnacentral:sRNA from 1 species
AUCAGUCCGGAGUCUUUGGGUUAUCGUUUAUAUUCCGCCUGGGUUACUAAAUCUUUAGUUAAACCCUCUGGAACAACACACCACCCCAUUGACAUCAACUUGACUGAAAA